rnacentral:rRNA from 1 species
AUGGAGAUUUUCAAGUUUGUUGGAGACAUAGACUCUUUUCCAAAUAUAUUAAUAGCUUAUCGAUUAUUUGCUUUACCAUUCACUAUAGCAUCAACUGAACACAGUUUCUCAAAGUAGAAGUUAUUGGGAAACUAUUUGAGAUUAUCAAUGUCACAUGAAAGAUUGAAUGGUGUUGCUACUUUAUGCAUUGAGAAAGCAAAGUUGGAUAAAAUAAAUACUGAUGUACAGAUCUGA